UGAUCCGGUUCCUGUUUAGGCUGAUCUGAGCUACGGGUUGUCCAAGGUGAAAGAGCAGCCUGCACCGACCGGCAUCGAGAACACGACUAACCGGCAGGUACUUGGUGGUAGCAGGUGUGCUAUGAGGGAUGAGACAGUACUACCAGGGUUUGCUAUCCGAAUAACAACCAGCAGCCUGCUGCUGUGACACCUUGCCAGAGACCACACUAUCGCUUUCUUCCCCUUCAAGAUGAGCCAACGCAACGUCCUGGUGCUAGCUACGCUCACCAUCGAAGCCAGCUACAAUCUUCAUGCUCAGUAGGUACACUGGGGCAACCGGCAAUUGGGGGUAGCGUUGGGCGGUAUGCGUGUGCCGCAGUGGUCAUCGGUACCGCAUCCGCGACUUCCUUCGCAAGCAGCAGUCGAU